rnacentral:rRNA from 1 species
GAUGAACGCUGGCGGCGUGCCUAAUACAUGCAAGUCGAACGAAACUUCUUUAUCACCGAAUGCUUGCACUCACCGAUAAAGAGUUGAGUGGCGAACGGGUGAGUAACACGUGGGCAACCUGCCCAAAAGAGGGGGAUAACACUUGGAAACAGGUGCUAAUACCGCAUAACCAUAGUUACCGCAUGGUAACUAUGUAAAAGGUGGCUAUACUACCGCUUUUGGAUGGGCCCGCGGCGCAUUAGCUAGUUGGUAGGGUAAAGGCUUACCAAGGCAAUGAUGCGUAGCCGAAUUGAGAGGUUGAUCGGCCACAUUGGGACUGAGACACGGCCCAAACUCCUACGGGAGGCAGCAGUAGGGAAUCUUCCACAAUGGGCGAAAGCCUGAUGGAGCAACGCCGCGUGGGUGAAGAAGGUCUUCGGAUCGUAAAACCCUGUUGUUAGAGAAGAAAGUGCGUGAGAGUAACUGUUCACGUUUCGACGGUAUCUAACCAGAAAGCCACGGCUAACUACGU